GAGUAAUAGUUCUGUACUUGCUGCUGCCCAAGCUCCUUUGACUUAAAUGCCACUGUGCCAAAGUGGAGGCAGGGAGAGGGUAGGCACCACGUCAGCCCUGUGGUGCAUGGUCUGUUCCAGCUGACGCUAGGGGCAGUGGGCAGCAGACUGAAGCAGGAGGACUGCUAUGGGUCUGAAGUCAACCUG
rnacentral:lncRNA from 14 species